rnacentral:rRNA from 1 species
AGAAUCAACGCUGGCGGCGUGCCUAACACAUGCAAGUCGAACGAGAAAGGGGAGCAAUCCCUGAGUACAGUGGCGACCGGGUGAGUAACACGUGACCAAUCUACCUUCGAGUGGGGGAUAACUCCGGGAAACCGGGGCUAAUACCGCAUAACAUCUUUGGAAUGCAAAUUCCGUUGAUCAAAGGAGCAAUUCGCUUGAAGAGGAGGUCGCGGCUGAUUAGCUAGUUGGCGGGGUAAUGGCCCACCAAGGCGAAGAUCGGUAUCCGGCCUGAGAGGGCGCACGGACACACUGGAACUGAAACACGGUCCAGACUCCUACGGAGGCAGCAGUGGGGAAUUUUGCGCAAUGGGGAAACCCUGACGCAGCAACGCCGCGUGGAGGAUGAAGUCCCUUGGGACGUAAACUCCUUUCGACCAAGACGAUAAUGACGGUACUGGUGGAAGAAGCACCGGCUAACUCUGCGCCAGCAGCCGC